AUCUAAGCCUUUCUGUUUCCUGCUGGAUUUUUCUGGACAGUCUUUCUAGACCUGCAUUUGCUGCAGUUUUCCUCUGUUUUCAACCCGAUGAUGCUGAAAUAAUAACUCCUCGAUGAUGUUCCUCUUGAUGAUAUUAACUCCCUGACGUUAUUGCGAUUUAACAGGAGAAGUUCGGUUGGCCGUAUUGACAGGUUCAGAAGUUGGUCUUCUUCUUGUGAGCGCUUCAGUGUGCUCUCUUAUCUCCUGGAGCUCUGCCAUACCACAAGUACAUUUGAGACGGCCCUUUGUGGUUUCCUCUGGGGAAAAGCAUAAUGAAUUCCUUUGUCAGAUGUCUUUUCCUGAUUCUGAACGGAGCCCAGGCUCAGAUCUCUGUUCCAGUUUUGGUGGAAGCACCAGCGGAAGCUCGGUCACCACAGAGAGGAUAUCCUGGAUGGAAGGCAAGCCGGAGAAAUUAUUUUACUGACUAAACCAUACACAUACUGUGCAAUGCAGAAAUGCAAAAGUUUUGGAUUCAGUCAGAAUGUUGCUCUAAACAGCUUCUCUCUCUCUCUGUCUGCUAUUCUACCCCUUUAUACGACAUAAAGAUGCUCAUUCUUUA